rnacentral:rRNA from 1 species
GUGUCAGCAGCCGCGGUAAUACGGAGGGUGCAAGCAUUAAUCGGAAUUAUUGGGCGUAAAGGGCGCGUAGGCUGAAUUGUAAGUCAGAUGUGAAAUAUCGAGGCUCAACCUCGAUGCUGCAUUUGAAACUACAACUCUAGAGGAUAGACGGAGAAAACGGAAUUCCACGUGUAGCGGUGAAAUGCGUGGAUAUGUGGAAGAACACCUGUGGCGAAAGCGGUUUUCUAGUUUAUUCCUGACGCUGAGGCGCGAGAGCAAGGGGAGCAAACAGGAUUAGAUACCCUGGUAGUCCUUGCCGUAAACGAUGUAUACUUGAUGUAGUUGGACUCAACCCCGACUGUGUCGUAGCUAACGCGAUAAGUAUACCGCCUGAGGAGUACGCUCGCAAGGGUGAA